GAUGAACGCUGGCGGCAGGCCUAACACAUGCAAGUCGAACGGGUCCUUCGGGACUAGUGGCGGACGGGUGAGUAACGCGUGGGAACAUACCCUUUGGUACGGAAUAGCCUCGGGAAACUGGGAGUAAUACCGUAUGUGGUCGAGAGACGAAAGAUUUAUCGCCAAAGGAUUGGCCCGCGUUGGAUUAGGUAGUUGGUGGGGUAAUGGCCUACCAAGCCGACGAUCCAUAGCUGGUUUGAGAGGAUGAUCAGCCACACUGGGACUGAGACACGGCCCAGACUCCUACGGGAGGCAGCAGUGGGGAAUCUUAGACAAUGGGGGAAACCCUGAUCUAGCCAUGCCGCGUGAUCGAUGAAGGCCUUAGGGUUGUAAAGAUCUUUCAGGUGGGAAGAUAAUGACUGUACCACCAGAAGAAGCCCCGGCUAACUCCGUGCCAGCAGCCGC
rnacentral:rRNA from 1 species